rnacentral:lncRNA from 10 species
AUAACAUUCCUUGGAUGAAAGAAAAACAGAGGAAGAAGAGAUAAGAAUCCAUCUAAACCUACUUUCUAAGCCCUGGAGGCCCCAGAAGUGAAAGUCCUCAAACACAAAUUAUUUUACUAAUUUACUGAGCAGACAUUUCUGGAGAGCCCACUCGGUGCUGGGCACUGUUGCAGGCAUGGGGGUAGUGAUGGGGUGACAGUGGAGGCUGCUGCGCUCCAGUCGGGACUAGGUCCUCACGGUACCUCUGGAGGGGAUCUCUGUGGUUGGGACGGGGAUAAGUGGAGAGGGGAGGAGGCUCUCCAGGCCCCUGGCGCCUCAAUCUCCUGUCCCGUUUCACUCUGACUCUCGUUUCCCCAAGGAAGAGGCAGGGAAAGAGGAGACAGGAUUGUAAAGACAAGGAGUAGUUUUCAGUAACUUGGAUUAAAAAUAAGUUGAGGUUAAAGGUUGAACUUAGUGACAAUAUUUUGACCUACAAGAAUGCAAAUUACGUAUAUUUCAACUUAAUAGCUAAAAUGUGUGUUUUGGAGUAAAUGUGGAUUUCGAUUAUUCACAUGAUGUUGCCACUGGUCUGCCACAAUCUAGAUCUGGCUAUAGGCAAAUGAAGACUGAGACAGCCUCAGUAGCUCCAGAGCUGGGCAGCAUGGAGCCGUGAAGACCAAUGCUCAUGGGGGUCACUCAGGAGACCUGACUAUAGAUCCAAGUGUUGCCUUUAAACAGUUGUGUGAUCUCAAGCAAACCUCAUUUCUCCUUCCAUGGGGAAUGGUGGGCACACCAGCUCCAUGCUGGUGCCGGUCCUGUCCCCUGCCACACAUGACUGAGUGCCCACACCAGGCACUUGUGGUGCUGCUGAUGGCAUUACUUUUGUUUCUGGUGUCAGUUUUGUUUAGGCUUUUGGGGAGGAAAAAGCCUAACAAAAGGCUUUCCAGGAGCAGGGAAUGGCUGGGGCCCAUGUGAAGCGUCUCCUGGUUUGGUAACAGGUGCGAUCCUUCAGAUGCUCCCCAAACAUCUCUAAUAAAUGCUUAGUGGGUUCUUCCGGGAAAUGAAAAAAAAAGACACCUGACGUUGUUGUUUAAUAUCUGAGUACACCUGCAUCUUCCAUGUUCAGAUACUCUGAACUCAGAGGAUAGGUGAAGACCUGGCCAAGGCGCCUAGAGUGUCCCCCUGCCUGCUCCAUAGAGACCCCACCACACAGAUGAAGACCCUGAGUGAGGAGAAAGCCUGCAAAGCUCCUCAACCCUCCCCUCAGCUCUGUCAGCCCUGGGUUCCAGCAAAGACCUUGCUUCUUCUGUCUCCCACUGGGACCCCUGUCACUGCUACCUGGAUGCUUGUUCCUCAAGCUGGCACCCGAGCUACCAUCUCCGCCCUAUGAUGAUGGAAGCUUAGUUAAAUGAAGCUCUUUCUGGAGCCAAUGGGCUGGAUCUUAAGCCUCCCGGAGAAUGUGAGUGUAAUUUAGGAAAGUGGAAGGAAUGAUUGAGUCUGUGUCCUAAUCCCUGAGAGUCUGUACUCACUGAAGUGAGCAGCCUAAUCCUCCUGGUACCUGCGGACUCAGGAUGGAAUCUUUAAUUACCAGAGUCUCAUUUCUGCUUCACGAGCACUACCGGAGUAGCAUCUGUCGCUCAAAUAAACUCAUGUGAAAAUAAAGUAUUAAAAUCAAUAAUUCAGCUUGGAGGUGAAAUGGAACAGAAAAAUAACUUUCUGGCUUGCAGUGUCCUGGAUUUGCAGGCGGCAAGUUUCACUGACUCUUGCUUCUCCCUCUCCUUGGAGCAUGCGAACCUUGGUGGGUGCUGGCUGGCCUGCACCAGAGAUGCAGUGGGGGAUGCAGCUUCCACCAGGGUGUGGGGGAUGCACUUUCUGGAAGAAAGGGCAACAGCCAUACCUUCUUCCAGCAGCUCCUGUGGCCACCUCCAGGUCAGAGUGAGCCCCCGGCAGGCCCCAGGCUGGCUCUGAGGCUGAUGCAGCAGGUUCAGUUAUUCUGCUGUGGCCUGAAUGUGAGUUUCUCUUCACUUCAUCACAUUUUGGCUUCAACACUGAACAGAUUUCAAAGACCACCUGAAGUUCCCUGUCUCCAGGACGUCUCUCCUGAUUUCUCAUUUCUGGAGUGAUUGUGAAGAGAGCCAAGUUUACCAGUUGUUUAUAAUUUCACUCCAGGUGCGGUGAUAAGCAUGCACAUCUCCCUUUGGCUGUCACAGUAACCCUUUGAGGUAGGCGCUGCCACGUUUCCCAUUUAGAGGGGAGGAAAAAGACGCAGGGAGGUGAGGCACCUGCCCAACCCGCAUGGGCAGGUGGGAACCAGGGUCCAAACCUGGCCUUCCUUUCCUGCCUAUCUUUCCUCUGCGGAGGUGUCACUGCCAUGCUGCACACAGCUGCCAUGCAGUGCUCUGUUCCAGAUGCCUGUGCCUGUGACCCCUCUGCCCAUGAGGCUGGGCACAGCCACUGCUGCACUGAGCUUUUGUGUCUUCCAUUUUGUGUGUUUCGCCAUCUUUUUAUAGAUGGUGGGGGAUGGAGUGGACACAAGAGGGCGGCAGGAGAGGGGUGGGAAGAUGUGAUCUUGGGGUUUUCUCACCAUUUCACCUGACCAGAGGCCAGAACGUCAUUUGGAAUUCUUCGGCCUUUACAUCCAAUGAUACAGUUGGGGCCGUUCAUCCAUUCCUCAACAAGCAUCUGCUGAAGGCCUGGUGAGAGCCAGGAACCAGCCGUGGAGUGGGGUGGGAGUGCCCAGGAACCAUCAUAAUCAUUUUGAAAACCACCAAGAGGAGAGCUGCCAACCAUCAACACCUGCUCCCCAGCAGAGCUGAGGUUUCUCUGCAGCCGCCUCCCUUUCAAGAGCAAGCCCAUGAUGUUGUCCUCAUCCGGAAGAUCCCUGCCUAUCCUGCCUGAAAACAGCCCAUUGAGAGCAAAGGUGACUGCACUGCCUGCCAUCCUCAGAUACAGAAGUAGGCAGUAGGCAGGGGCCAUGGCAAGACGCAGACUCAUGGGCAGAGGCCGGAGGCUGUUUUGUGUUUCCUGGAGCAGCGGUACGGCGGGAAACAUGGAAGAAGCGGCGGGGUGGCCUAGGGUGUGUAACGUCUUUGUGAAGCACCUGUGUGUAGCUGGGCCAUUGCUGCAAAGGGUCCUCACUUCUGGGACUGGAGCUGGUCCUCAUUCCUCAGUGCUUUGACAAAACCCUCAGUGCAUCUCCAGAAUGGCACCAGAAGAUUAACUGUCAUUAUUUGUCCUCACUUCAAACUCUUCCCAGAGCUUAAUUCUAACAUUUUAUCAUGACUAAAAAUCAUGUGGGGCCCUUGUUAAAAGUGCAGCCCAAGAUAGUAUGGUUUGGUAGCUCUGGGUUAAGUGCCCAGGAGCUACAUUUUAAACAUGACACCCAGCCAAGUCUUACGUGUGUGCGUUACAAUUCAAACUGUGAGGUCUUCUCAGGGGCAAUGGGUUUGUCUUAUUUGUCUCUGUGUGUUCCAGCUACCUGCGCCUGGGGCAGAUAGUACUUAUUGAGGAUGUCUGUGAGAUGAAUGGAUGGAUGGAGGGAGGGAAUGAUGGA